UGGACACAUAGGUGGGGUUGUCUGCUCCGGCAAGUCAGGCUGGCAUCAUGUUAGCAUCUGGAACCUUUUACUUUUUACCUUUUUUUUUAUUGCCACCGAGUUAUCACUAGGGCUUGGUAUCUGCGUGCAAAUCAACCUCUCCUCUUCUGGUGGUCAUAUUUUUCUUUUCUUUUAUUUGCUAGGACAUAGAGAAACUGAGAAAGGAGUAGGAGACAGAGGAGAGAAAGCGGCACUUACAGCACUGCUUCACCACUCAUGUAGCUUCCCCCUGCAGGUGGGAGGGGGAGAGGGGUCUUGAACCUGGGUCCUUGUGCAUGGUAAUGUAUGUACUCAACUGGGUCUGUAACCACUCAGCAACCUUGAGAAAACUCUUGAAGGUUGUGAGUUGCUUGGUGAGUGGGUAGCCUCUUUCCAUCCUCCCAACAGACAUUAUAAGACAGGCAGAUGUUUCCAGCAAACACAACAGCAUCAGACCAGACCAACAGGAGUUGUUUUCACAAAGACUCUGGUUCAAUCACAUGCACUGAAGAUGAGGAGUUGGUAUCUGGGAGUGGCUUUGGCAAGAACUGUAGCAGUCACCUUCCUCACUGGCCAGAAUGAGUGUGGGAAACAUGGAGUGUGUCUAAGGGGGAAAAGGCAGCUGAGCCGGAGUUCUAGAAUUAUCUGACUCUCGUCCUGUACCAUGAACAUAGAAAAGGAUUCUGUUGGGCACCCCAAGUUCUGACAUAAGCAGCGGAAAUUGCUGACACAGAGCAUUGCAUUUGAAGAGUACUUGAAAGAAGCAGGGAAUGUGCUUUGCUCUGUCAAAAGAGCCCGGAGGACUCUGCUAGUAAAAGGAAGGAAAAAUCAA